rnacentral:rRNA from 1 species
UACGUAGGGUGCGAGCGUUAAUCGGAAUUACUGGGCGUAAAGCGUGCGCAGGCGGUUCGUUGUGUCCGUCGUGAAGCCCCGGGCUUAACCUGGGAACUGCGAUGGAAACUAGCGAGCUGGAGUGUGGCAGAGGGGGGUGGAAUUCGCGUGUAGCAGUGAAAUGCGUAGAGAUGCGGAGGAACACCGAUGGCGAAGGCAGCCCCCUGGGCUAACACUGACGCUCAGGCACGAAAGCGUGGGGAGCAAACAGGAUUAGACGUCCGUAGUCAGUCCAAGAUCCAGU